rnacentral:lncRNA from 1 species
GAAACAGAAGCCUUCAAGCUAAAUAUGGGGUAAAUAUAAAUAGCCAGUACCUGCUGAUGCCUCCCCAUAACAGGAAUUACCAUCAAAAUGCCAGUAACUGAUUCCAUCGUUGUAUCCAGUCAUUGUGGAGAGAGGCAGCCCAUUGAGAAGACAAAGCAGACAUCAUUUAUAAUUACAGGAAUGUUCUUGUUGAGUUCCUGAUUUAAAAUUCAUUUAUGGAAGGAUUAAAUUUAGUAAGUAAUUUCC